UGCAACCUGAGCUCAGUCGNACUACCCGCUGAAC
rnacentral:rRNA from 1 species